GUGUCAGCCGCCGCGGUAAUACGUAAGGGGCAAGCGUUGUCCGGAUUCAUUGGGCGUAAAGAGCGCGUAGGCGGCUUAUCAAGUCAGGUGUGAAAACCGGGGGCUCAACCCGCGGACUGCACUUGAAACUGGUAGGCUUGAGUCUAGUAGAGGGAAAUGGAAUUCCUAGUGUAGCGGUGAAAUGCGCAGAUAUUAGGAAGAACACCGGUGGCGAAGGCGGUUUCCUGGGCUACGACUGACGCUGAGGCGCGAAAGCUAGGGGAGCGAACAGGAUUAGAUACCCUGGUAGUCCUAGCCGUAAACGAUGGGCACUAGGUGUAGGGGGUUAUCGACUCCCCCUGUGCCGUAGCUAACGCAUUAAGUGCCCCGCCUGGGGAGUACGGCCGCAAGGCUAAA
rnacentral:rRNA from 1 species